CCGCUUGGAAGUAAACGGAGGAAGUUGACAGAAGCCUGCAGAAUUCAACUUGUGUUUGUGGUGUAGUGCCGGUGACCGAUCAAUUGACGGGAACUAGCAAGUUCACUGCAGCAUGAGUGCACUUUCUGCAGGUGUGCGCUACGACCGCUUAGUACGCCGGCUGAAGGCCAGCAGAUUGCCGACUGUGACUUCGGUCGCAGUGACCCGUCUGUUGGUUUCUGAAGCCCGGGAUGUGCUGAGCGAGCAACGACCGCACUCGCUUGUCUCGAGGUGCGCAGUUUGUGUCGAGGUCGGACUUUUGCGUCUUGCUUGCAAGUCGUAGAGACUCCCACGAUGCAUGACUGUGUAUUCUUGAGUGGUGCAAAUGGUCAGUGGCGUCCGAGUCAGCCUCUCUUCCGACCCGUCUUGAAACACGGACCAAGGAGUCUAGCAUGUGCGCGAGUCAUUGGGCGGCAAACCCAACGGCGUAAUGAAAGUAAAGGUCAACUCUGUUGACUGAGGUAGGAUCACUGGUCUUCGUGACUGGUGCGCACUACCAUCCCGUACCAUCUACUCUGUUAGAGGUGCGGAGACUGAGCGUACACGCUAGGACCCGAAAGAUGGUGAACUAUGCCUGAGCAGGACGAAGUCAGAGGAAACUCUGAUGGAAGUCCGUAGCGGUUCUGACGUGCAAAUCGA
rnacentral:rRNA from 1 species